UACCAUAACUAACCCCCGAUCCUUUAGUCAAGUUUAAGGUCACUAUGUGAUCUCCACAACCUUUUUUAGAAUCCAAAAUAUCUAGGUUUAAUUUAAAGGGGGUAAUUCUUGUAUUCCCUUUGCAAUUUAAUUAAAAAAAAAUCUACAUUGAUUUUCCUUCCAACAGAAUUUACCUCAAACUCAAUGGGUUAGAACUAUUGAGCCAGUAUCACUAUGAGUAGGAAUUAACUCUAUCAACCUCCAAAUCCUUCUUUACCAAAAUUCUUAAUGUCUAUGAUCAAUGCUACACAUAAUAACUCACAUGAGCAUCUCAAAAUCGAAAUUUCUACUCAAUUUUGUAUUUUACAAUGACAAAGAUUUCUAGUUAGAUCAUAAACCGAGACUUGAGUUCAAAUUAACACAUCCAAUAGUCUCCAACAAUUAUAAGAAAAAUUCAGUAGCCCAAUCUGAAUAUACAAAUUCAAAUAAUUAGAAUUCUCCCAUCAAUAUACAUACUCUAUGGCCUCAAAAUAAUCAAAUACAUCAAUAGAAAUUAGACCUAUUUGCAAUAUCCAACAUGCCAAUAUCAGAUAUAAUCCACAUGGAUUUUCAACUUCGAAGAACGUUCCUUUCAAUAUUAUGAAAUCUCCUUAGCUCACUCCAAUACUAUGGAAGAUCAACGUACAAAUCCCACUCUAAUUAUUAGCAGCAAAAUCCAAAAGUACAGUCACAUCAAAACCCAUAUCAAAUUUGAACUUUCAAAUCAUUUAAAUAAUAUCUGAACAUGGUAUACUCGAUAUGCCAUUGUUGACCUACACUUAUCUUAGGUCAAACCUCUCUUAUCAUUAUCAAAGACAAUUUAUACUUUCCUUCCGCAUGCAUCGAAAACCAAAUCGAUGCAUACAUUUUAUCACAAUGCCCAGUGAUCUUACAGCUUAAGCACUGAAUUUAAUUGUCAUGUCCUAAGUGAUCAUAACCUUAAGCUAUAAUAUAUUUCUGUCAUGAUCCCUAGGGAUCUUAAACAUAUGUUCAGAUUCCAACUGGUCAUAUUUUUCAAUAAUCUUAAACCUCAAACCUUAAUGCCACUAAGGCCACAGUCCCUAGUGGUCUUAAACCUUAGCUUAUAAUAUCAUUCUUGUUACAAUCUCAAGUGAUUAUAAACCAAAACUCUGAUAGUUUUUUUUUCAUAAUUCUCCACUGAUACUCACCUGAACAUAAACCCUAGGAUACCUUAACCUUAAGCUCUGAUACCACUAAAUCUGUCACGCCCCGAACCCGAACCUAGGCCCGGGACGCGCCAGACGCCGCAC
rnacentral:lncRNA from 1 species